rnacentral:rRNA from 1 species
UGGGGAAUUUUGGACAAUGGGCGAAAGCCUGAUCCAGCAAUGCCGCGUGUGUGAAGAAGGCCUUCGGGUUGUAAAGCACUUUUGUCCGGAAAGAAAUCCUUGGCUCUAAUACAGUCGGGGGAUGACGGUACCGGAAGAAUAAGCACCGGCUAACUACGUGCCAGCAGCCGCGGUAAUACGUAGGGUGCAAGCGUUAAUCGGAAUUACUGGGCGUAAAGCGUGCGCAGGCGGUUUGCUAAGACCGAUGUGAAAUCCCCGGGCUCAACCUGGGAACUGCAUUGGUGACUGGCAGGCUAGAGUAUGGCAGAGGGGGGUAGAAUUCCACGUGUAGCAGUGAAAUGCGUAGAGAUGUGGAGGAAUACCGAUGGCGAAGGCAGCCCCCUGGGGCCAAAUACUGACGCUCAUGCACGAAAGCGUGGGGAGCAAACAGGAUUAGAUACCCUGGUAGUCCACGCCCUAAACGAUGUCAACUAGUUGUUGGGGAUUCAUUUCCUUAGUAACGUAGCUAACGCGUGAAGUUGACCGCCUGGGGAGUACGGUCGCAAGAUUAAAACUCAAAGGAAUUGACGGGGUCAUAGCUGUUUCCU